rnacentral:lncRNA from 1 species
GUCCUGACCUCGCGGGAUUUGAGCUUCGGUGCCAACAAACACUCCCACCGCGGCUGCGUCCACUUUACCUGCCGGCGGCGACCAGCUUCUGAAGAAAAGUGUCCACCAUGGUGUCGAGGAGCUUCACCCUCGAAAUGGUAGUGCCGGGUGGCACAGAUUCCGAAGACGACCCCUCAUGCCUUUUUUCCUCACAGCCGCUGCCUAGAUUGGCGCUACUUGCUUCGGCCAUGUUGAAGUUGAACCUCCAAAUCUAACUGGCCCGGCCUCCCCGCCUGCCGGAGCUCCCGAUUGGCCGCUCCCGCGAAGGGUGCCUCCGAUUGGAAGCAGUAGAACGUCUGUCACCGAGCAGGGCGGGGGCGGGGAAGUCAUCGGAGGCUGAGGGCAGCGGGGAGGCGAGGCUCUGCGCGGUGGGAUGUCCGCGACCGGAAAAAUACGCGCAAGCCAAAGCUCGGGGGCUCAAUAAAAACUUU